GGACGGGAGCCGCUCCCGGGCGGCACACAGCCGAGUCCCUCCUCCCCUCCCCGCAGGCAGCCUGUGCCUUUUCUCCAAACGAAGACAGCACUUUGAAAAUUCUUUCAAUGGAUUUUUUUUUCCUUGAAAGAUCGUACUGGGGGAAAAUGAUACUUCUAUUAGUUACAUAUUCUCCAAUCGCAUACUCGCACCCCCCUCGUUUUGAGAUCGCUCCCCUAGGCAGGCUCAGGCGGGCGCGGAGCCGCGCGGAGUGACAAAGCCGCCGCUGCCGCCGCCGGGGGUGGGAGCCGCGCUCGCCCGCCCGCCCCUCGACUCGCGAGGGCGUAAAAGUUUGUCUCAGCUCGAGCAUUCCUAGCGCCAACACGCCCUCAGGUAAAGGUGGAAGUAAAUGGCCACGCUGUAUUGACAGAGCAGGUAGAUGAAACUCAAGAGAAAAGGUGUGGAUAAAUGAAACUAGCCCAUGAUGAACCUGUUUUCUCCGUGACCACAAUAUUAACCAGGAUGAAUGGCGGUGGCAGUGGGCCUGCAUCACAGGUUGCAGCAGAUGUUCUCAAUAUUUCUAUUAAAAUUUCCUUAUUUCCAUAUGCAAGAGGAGCCCCAGAGCUGCAUCCUUAUGGUAGCUACCAUGCCGUGAUGUAAGCUGCCAUUCACUGGGGAGCUUUGGCAAUAGAAUUGGCUAGAUCAGGAAGCCUAUGUCAACUAUGGAACAACAACUUGCAGCUCAUCUCUAUUGAUGAUGGAAUCUCGCUAUGUCACCAGGCUGGAGUGCAGUGGCGCAACCUCGGCUCAGCGCAACAUCCGCCUCCCGGGUUCAAGUGAUUCUCCUACCUCAGCCUCCUGAGUAGCUGGGAUUACAGGUGAAACAGUCGCAAAUGGAAUUCCAAGAAACAUUCUAUCAUCAGGUAUUAUCUACUGCUGUCUGCAGAAUUCAGACAUGGAGGGCUCAAUGGUGUCCCCUGGUCUUUGGAACAUUCUGUAUUUUAAUGAUCAUGAUACACUGCCUCUAGGACUGGGACAGAUAGCCACUGAGUACCUGCUUCAAAUCACCCUGCACGUUUUCUCUUUGGAAAGAUAAGCACUGGAGAACCAUCUCGUUACCUUCAGCAGAAAUGGAAACAAAUCAAGACAUUAAGAAUGCCGCAGUGGACAGCAGUUAUGCAAGGUUCAGCAGAGGAAGUUUUCAAGAUGGUGUGCCUCACUAGCCAGAAAUCAGAAAAGAUCGAAGCUAGCCUUUUCAUCUCAGCUGCUCCUUAAAUCAGUGCAACCCCUCCAAAUUAAUGUGAAUUGAAACUUGCAUUGCUUUUCAACUUAAUUGAAUACUUACUAUAUGUGAACCACUGCACAAAAUAGGGGAAGAAGAUGUGGGAGACAAAGAUGUGGAGCCUGUCUUCAAUAAAUUUACAGUUAGUUUCAGGGUACAUUGUUUUUCUUCUGCUGUUAAUUAGGUGUAUCCCCAAGACAAUAAAUACAUGAAUGGAAAAGUAUAUUCUGUGUUUUAAGUCUCUUUAAUAAAAAACAAAACAAAAUCCAAAAAAACUCCUAACAUGGCAACUCAGGACAUUUUAAUCCUUUUUUUUGUUGUUGGGCUUCUGAUAGGAUCCAUUUUAUUGAUUCCAUAAAUAUUUAGUAGACUUUAGACAUAUUAAUACAUUGUAGUUUGAGUUAAUUUGCAUUAAAUUCUGUUUUUUUCCCCUUAGGUAUAGAUUGUCUGUUGGAAAAAUAUAUUGCUUGUGGAUUUCUUGGGGAGUGGGAAGGUGAAUUAUACCUGUUGUCUCUACAGUCCACUACCUUCCACACCCUAGGGCAGUGGUCCCCAACCUUCUUGGCACCAGGGAUCAGUUUCCUGGAAGACAAUUUUUCUGUGGAUGGUGUGGGGAUGGUUUUGGGAUGGAACUGUUCCACCUCAGAUCAUCAGGCAUUAGUUAGGCUCUCAUAACGAGUGCGCAGCCUAGAUCCCUCACAUGCACAGUUCACAGUAGGGUUUGCGCUGCUAUGAGAAUCUAAGGCUGCCACUGAUCUGACAGGAGGCAGAACUCAGGUGGCAAUGCUUACUGGCCCACUGCUCACCUCUUGCUGUGCGGCCUGGUUCCUAAUAGGCCAUGGACCCCCACAGACGGGUACUAGUCUGCAGCCUGUGGACCCCAGCCCUAGGGGCCUGCCAUUCUGAGUGAGUUAUUAGCAUGAAGAAGAGGAAGAUCUGGAUCAAACGUGGGUGAUGGUACUCAGAGACCCAAGAUAGGAUAGGGAUGGAACAAAAUCCAUCUGGGCAACGGCUCUAUGAAAAUUUGGCUAAGUAAUUAUUUCAGUAUUCAUUGUAUUCAUUGUCCUUCGUGUUCCAUAAGUUAAAUGACUGUCUAAUUUUUCCAAAAAUUUAUUUCUGACUUGAGAAUAAGUGUGUCAUGAUUUUCCCAGUGUAAAGACACUGAUAUAACUGUAGAUACCAGACAUUUUAUGUAGUGUCUAUGACACAUUUUAGUAUGUAUGAGCCAACAAUAGACAUGUCUUUGUCUUGAGGAGUGUCCAUCUGAAUUGAAAAUGUGUCAGCUUUUUUUUAACAUCAUCAACAGACUUCUUAAUUAAGCUGCCAAUACAUACUGCCAAUAGCACUGUGUGCUGUCUGAGAAAUGCAUUGUGUAAGUGCUAUUUCCAUCUUAUUAAAUAAACAAUGUUGCUCU
rnacentral:lncRNA from 1 species